rnacentral:rRNA from 1 species
AGGAAGAUUAAUACCGCAUAAGAUUGUAGUAUCGCAUGAUAUAGCAAUUAAAAGGAAGCAAUUCGCUAUAAGAUGGACCCGCGUCGCAUUAGCUAGUUGGUGAGGUAAUGGCUCACCAAGGCGACGAUGCGUAGCCGACCUGAGAGGGUGAUCGGCCACAUUGGGACUGAGACACGGCCCAGACUCCUACGGGAGGGCAGCAUG